rnacentral:rRNA from 1 species
GAUGAACGCUGGCGGCGUGCCUAAUACAUGCAAGUCGAGCGAACAGAUGAGGAGCUUGCUCCUCUGACGUUAGCGGCGGACGGGUGAGUAACACGUGGAUAACCUACCUAUAAGACUGGGAUAACUUCGGGAAACCGGAGCUAAUACCGGAUAAUAUAUUGAACCGCAUGGUUCAAUAGUGAAAGACGGUUUUGCUGUCACUUAUAGAUGGAUCCGCGCCGCAUUAGCUAGUUGGUAAGGUAACGGCUUACCAAGGCAACGAUGCGUAGCCGACCUGAGAGGGUGAUCGGCCACACUGGAACUGAGACACGGUCAAGACUCCUACGGGAGGCAGCAGUAGGGAAUCUUCCGCAAUGGGCGAAAGCCUGACGGAGCAACGCCGCGUGAGUGAUGAAGGUCUUCGGAUCGUAAAACUCUGUUAUUAGGGAAGAACAAAUGUGUAAGUAACUAUGCACGUCUUGACGGUACCUAAUCAGAAAGCAACGGCUAACUACGUG